rnacentral:rRNA from 1 species
GUAGGCUGCAACUCGCCUACACGAAGCUGGAAUCGCUAGUAAUCGCGGAUCAGCACGCCGCGGUGAAUACGUUCCCGGGCCUUGUACACACCGCCCGUCACACCAUGAGAGUCUGUAACACCCAAAGCCGGUGGGAUAACCUUUAUAGGAGUCAGCCGUCUAAGGUAGGACAGAUGAUUAGGGUGAAGUCGUAACAAGGUACC